GACGUAGGGCGCGAGCGUUGUCCGGAUUUAUUGGGCGUAAAGAGCUCGUAGGCGGCUUGUUGCGUCGACUGUGAACACCCGCGGCUCAACCGCGUGGCUUGCAGUCGAUACGGGCAGGCUAGAAUUCGGUAGGGGAGACUGGAAUUCCUGGUGUAGCGGUGAAAUGCGCAGAUAUCAGGAGGAACACCGGUGGCGAAGGCGGGUCUCUGGGCCGAUAUUGACGCUGAGGAGCGAAAGCGUGGGGAGCGAACAGG
rnacentral:rRNA from 1 species